rnacentral:lncRNA from 1 species
CUGAGUCAAAGCAAGCCAGGGAAUUAAUGCAAAAAGGCUCAAGCUUCUGUGCCCCUGGGAAAUGGCAGAGGAAGACAGCUUCAGCCUCAGAGCACACAGCACUGAGUUGUAAGAAACAGGUCUCAUCAUCCCCUUGGCCAGCAGAUUUUCACCCUGGGCCCACUAAGAAGCCUGCCAGGGGGUCCUCUGUUGUCUGGACCCUGAGGCUUCAUCCUCAAUGUGUUGGAGCCUAGGAGAGAGGAUUAGAGUUAUGCGGUAGGUGUGGGAGUUGUGUUUGAUGGGCUAGGAGUUGGGUGAGGAGGGAUCCUCAGUUUUGGGUAAAGGCAAAAAGGCAAGGAAGCCAGGAAAAAGCAAGGAGUUGGAAUAAAGACAGAGUGUGGGAGAAAGAGAGUGAGCUGGGUACAGGGGUGGGAGCAGAUGUAGAAGGAGGAGGACAGAGAAUCUGACUCAGGAUUGAGACAGCCCGUGGGAAGUGGAUCCCUAGCGUAGGAACAGGAGAGAGCCAGAGAGGAGAGGUAAGAGGGGGCAAGAUUCGGGGGUUAAGUAGAGGCAAGCCGGCAGGCAAGCACUGCAUGGCUAGUUGAGAAUGGAAAGGGGACGUGGUGAUCUAGGAAGUUUCUGUUUAAAGGCAGAGAGUGUAUGGUCAGGCAGGGGCUGUAUCUAUUUUCUUGUUUGUUUAUUCUGUUGUUUGUUUGUUUGUUUGUUUUGAGACAGAGUUUCCCAACGGUGCAGUCUCUACUCACCGCAACCUCUGCCUCCCGGGUUCAAGCAAUUCUCCUGCCUCAUUCUCUUGGGUAGCUGGGAUUACAAGCAUGCGCCACCACUCCCAGCUAAUUUUGUAUUUUUAGUAGAGAUGGGGUUUCUCCAUGUUGGUCAGGCUGGUCUCGAACUCCUGACCUCAGGUGAUCCGCCCAGCUCAGCUUCCCAAAGUCCUGGGAUUCCAGGCAUAAGCCACUGCGCCUGGCCUGUUUCUAUUUUCUUUUGCCAGGCAGGUUAUGUUAUACUGGGGUUUCUUGCUGAGGUCUGUCCUGGGACUGUCUGAGGUGUCACAAAGAGCCCACAGGUACAGACGAGAAAUUUGAAAGUGAAUCCAGACGCAGCAGAUGACAGCAAGAUGGGACUCCAAGUUCUCUUUCUAGAAAUUACAAGCUGCUCCGCUACCCACACAUGUAGCUCAUUCUCCCUGUGGCCAAGACACUCCUGUGCCUGAGGGAAAGGCAAUGCCUGCGGCAGAAACGGAGCGGUCCCCCAGCCAGGGGAGAGAGUGGCACCUAGUAUGGUACCCAAUGCUCUAAGGCAUGGAGCUGAUUGACUGCUGACUGUAGACCAGCCACUCACCACAGUGUAGGUUGGAAGCCUUCUAAGGCCGUGCGUUCUGCAGAGUCAGCCCAUGAUGGGGCCAGGAGUGUGGGCUCCAGUGUCACCCCCUUGGGAUUUAAUCCUGGCUGCACCUCUGGGGGCCUUGGGAGAGUAUAAGGGAAAGAAAUAGUCCCUUCCUUUCUUUGGAGAGAAGGAAUCCACAAGCUGGAAGGAGGGACCCUGGCACGAAGAAAGGCACAGGCCCCUCCAUAACUUGUUUCUACCACUCCCCUUUGAGGGCCCCUGGGGAAGGUUGGUUAGUCUUGAAUCUGUGCCCAGGAGAAACCAAAAAUCCUUAGUGGGGUUUCUCCCUGUCCUAGGCCUCCUGUCAGAGCUAGCGGAGAUCUGCUGGAAGGAGGCCGGGAGGAGGGGAUGUACGGAUGCCAUCAUGCCUGGAUGGAGGACCAGAAGGUCUUUAUAACAAGUAUUUGUGGAGCUCCUAAUAUGUGCCAAACUGUGGUAGACCUGGAUACCCAGAAACACGGCCACUCCCCUAAAGGAGGUUGCAGGCUAUACCAAUUAAAAUAAUUAUCUCAGUCCCUUCUUAUCAACAGAGUCGUCCAUGGAGACUAUUUCUCCCCCUGCCCCAGGCACACAGAAGCCUUGAGGCUUUCAUUGUGGCCCCACGGUGACAGCACACCCAGGUGGCACUCUCAGCUUAUCACUGAUUUGCAGAGCUGCUGUCUUGCAGCUAAAAGCAAUGUGCUGGUGGAUUUUUAAAAAGAAGUUCUGAGAGGCUUCUUAGAAGGUCUUUCUCCACAUCACUAACUAUUCGGAUUCCGGAGCACGGUGCCAAGCCCCUCCAUUUACUGCAGCCUUGCCCUUCCUCUCAAGAUCCAGCCGCUAAUGCUAUGGGAUGGCUGGUGGCCCCACUUGGGCUCCCCCAACCCCCACCUCGACCCCUAGCUUCCGCCUGUUUGGAGCUGUUAUCAGAGGAAACAGACUUGAACAUGACGGAGUUGCUGUCUCUUGGGCCUGACCAGAGAGUUGUGUUUUCUUGGCCUAUAUCACCUCAGAUUUAUCCUCGGCCUGACCGCAGUCAUUAUCAGCUAAAUUCACCAUCUCUAGAUGCCCAGAAGAUUUCAAAAGUGGACUAUAGGCUGCCAGUUGGUGUUAGAGUUCAGAGAAUCCCUGGACUUCAGCACUAGAAAGGAGCAGCUGCUAUGUCGGGGGUGUCAGGGGCUGGAUGCAGGGGCUGUUGCACUGAUCCCAGCUUGCUCCAUUCACAAGCCCCUCAUCCAUCUCUGAAGACUGGGACCAAAGCCAGGGCUGGGGCAGGCCUCUCUGGGCACAGGGGCCUGUUAGCAUUGGUUUCAUUCCUUCACCAAGAGGCCUAAAGACAUUGGAAUGAUGAGGCAAUUAAUGUGAAACAGAAACAAGUGGCUUUAGUUCCAGGCAUUUGAAACUGAAAGGAAGCUGUUGACAUUCUUUGAGACCCACUCUAGGCUAUGAUUUUUGCUGUGCUAGCCAGAACUCUGCUACUUACUUGAAGUAGGACCUUGGGAAAGUCCCUUCUCUAGGUCUCAAUUUCCUCAUAUGUAAAAGUGCAUCUGGGAUUAGUCAAGACCCUUCCAAGCCUGACAUGCUAUGGUCUAAGUGUCCCAGUAAUCUCUCUGUCACCCAGGGAUCAAAGAUUUACAGAUGUGUAGGAGAGAUGGGGAGGAACACACUAAGAUAUGUCCUUGUGAGUUUAGUUAACUAAAAGACUGGGGGAAAGAAAGGGAAGUAAGAAAAUAAAGUGAAAAGGUGGAAGAAGGCAGAGUGUAAAAGAGGGAGAUAAGGAAAGUACAAAAGAUAGAGAUGUCUGCUGCAAUUUCUCAGUACUCUUCAGAUACAUCCUGGCCAGGUUUACUUUCUUAGGGGCAGGGUAGAUUGUGAGGGUGUGGAAAAUGGUAUUUUUUCAAAGAGAGUCACAAUAGUAUUGCCAUCUCACAUGCUGUUAUACAAUGUGAUCUUGCCAUUUCUCUACCAAGAUAAAUGCAGUCUAGUUUCUCUCCCUUUAAAUCUGAGCUGGCCGUAAGACUUGCAUGAACAAUAAAAUGUGGUGGAAGUUAUUCCAAGUGACUUCUGAGGCUUGGUCAGAAGCAGCUUUCCCUUAGUUACUUUGAGACAUUUGUUCUGAGGGAAGCCAAUCUGACUACCUGAGGCCAUUGUGCUGGAGAAGCCACACAUUGGCAUUCCUGUUGACAAUCCUAGCUGAACCCUGCCUUCUAAUCAUUUCCCUCAAGGCUUAUCAAAUAAGUGAAUGAAGCUAUCUUGGACUCUCCAGACCAGCCCAUGCUGCAGCUAAGUAUUACUGAUCAAUUUCACUUUAUACCACAGGGAGCGGAAGAAUCACCUAGCUGAGCCCUACCCAAAUUCCUGCUGUGUUUGUGCCUAGAUUUUUUUUAUAAAACAAAACACACUGGAACAGGAUGGCAGGAGAUUUUUUUGUUUUUGUUUUUUAAACGCUUGUUUCAAACAGCAAUGAAAAAUCCUUAAAAAUGUAUAAAUAAGACUUCAAGAUUUUAGAGGUGUGAAAUUUCAAAAGAAAUCUGGAGGCUGGGCGUGGUGGCUCACGCCUGUAAUCCCAGCACUUUGGGAGGCUGAGGCAGGUGGAUCACAAGGUCAGGAGAUCGAGACCAUCCUGGCUAACACAGUGAAACCCCGUCUCUACUAAAAAAUACAAAAAAUUAACUGGGCGUGGUGGCAGGCGCCUAUAGUCCCAGGUACUCAGGAGGCUGAGGCAGGAGAAUGGCAUGAACCUGGGAGGUGGAGCUUGCAGUGAGCCAAGAUCGUGCCACUGCACUCCAGCCUGGGUGACAGAGUAAGAUUCCGUCUCAAAAAAAAAAAAAAAAGAAAUCUGGAAGCCAACUUUCAAUUUGCCCAUUAAGGACUUUAGUACAAAACUACCAUCUUCUAUAGGUCAUUAUAUCGUUUUUGUUUUUGAGACAGAGUCUCACUCUGCCACACACAUUGCAGUGCAGUGGCGCAGUCUUGGUUCACUGCACCCUCCCUGUCCCAGGCUCAAAUCGUCCUCCCACCUCAGCCUUCCAAGUAGCCAGGAAUACAGGUAUGCACUACCAUGCCCAACUAAUUUUUAAUUUUUUUUUAGUAGAGAUGAGGUCUCAAUGAAGCAGUGUUGUUGCCUGGGGUAAAUACCCGGGUUCAUCAUCUCGAGCCAAGAAGAUUAAGGACAUGAACACACAUGAAGAGUAAGUUUAGGAGCAGAGGUUUAAUAGGCAAAAGAAAGAGAAAGGAGAACAGCUCUCUCCCUUGCAAAAGAGAGGGGCUCCCAAAGGGGAAAACCCAGCCUGCGGUGGACUACACCCGAUUUUAUAGGCAAGCUUGAGAAGGCAGUGUCUGAUUUAUGUAGGGUUCACAGAUUGGUUUGACCAGUAUGAUGUUUACAUAGUAUUCACGGAAGGCUGCAUGCCCCACCCUAAUCUUAUUAUGUAAAUGGAGUCUUUGCCUGGCUGGCGCCAUAUUGUCUUCUCCUUACUGUACAUGUGGUUUGACAAAGGGAAGGGAAGAUGAAGCUGCCAUUUUGAACAUGCCUAGUCCCAGGUAGCCUUUUCCUGUUGGCACAACUGCUGGCAUUCACCUGUACAAGCUUCCAGCUUGCUUACCUAUGUCUGCAGCUCGAUUUUACAGGCUGCUCUUUGUAGAAAAAAAAACAAAAAACUAUUUUGAGACUGCUUUUCAUGAAAAGAAAAACCUUACCAAGGACUCCCAGACCCUCACUAUCUGCCUAAGUAAUUUCUUCUUAACUCCUGUAUCAUUACUAUAUUGCCCAGGCUGGUCUCAAAUUCCUGGGCUCAAGUGAUCCUCCCACCUUAGCCUCCCAAAGUGCUAGGAUUACAGGCAUGAGCCACUGUGCCCAGCCAUGUUGUAUUUUUUAAAGUACAGUUUAUCAUGAAAAAGGGAGAAAAGGUACUACAUCCAACCAGAAUGGCUAAAAUGAAAGAGAUAAACACUAUCAAAUUUUGACAAAGAUAUGAAACAACCAGAACUCUCAUAUAUGCCUGGUGGCAGUGUAAAAUGGCAUAGCCACUUUAGGAAAUAGCUUGGUAGUAUCCACUAAAGCUGAAAAUAUGCAUAUAUUCAAUUGUAUUCUUAAGUAUAUAUCCUACAAAAAUUUAUGAGCGUUUUAACCAAAAGAUCUGUGUACAAAUGUCCAUAGCAGUAAUCUUUUCUUUUUUUUUUUUUUUUUUUUUUUUUUUUGCUCCAGUCAAGGGAGAAGCAGUGAUGUUUUAGUAUCCAGAAAGUGGAAAUAACCCAAAUGCCCAUCAACAGCAGAAUGAAAUUGUACUAUAUUCACACCAUGGAAUAUUGUAUAGCAAAGAGAAUGAAUGAACUAUUAACAGAAAAGACAUGGACAAAUCUCAUAAACAUGAUGCUGAAAGAAACCACAGUCAAAAAAGAAGAUGCUUCCCAACCUUUUGCAGACCAUGGCAUACGCAGAAAAUGACAACAUCGGAAUGGCACACUGGCAUACCAGUUGGGGAUCCUUGCAGUCAAUGCUGACUGGACUCAUCCUUCAGCCGCCCCCAAGAAGAGAGAGAUCAAUACCUUGGCACAUCUGUGGGAAAGCUCCCAUUAGAGAGUGUGGGGAAGACACAGGCCUCCACAACACAUUUCAGGUUCUCUAAACUGGCAAAGGGGAAGAGUCUGGGCUUCCUUUGCCCUUUUGUUCUCAAAGAGCCCAGCUGUGCACACCCCUCACCCCUGCACUAUAGCUCCCAUUUGGGUAGUGAAAAAUCACAGGACUCAGGGGAGUUAUGCAGCAUUCGGGAAUGGAGACCUGGAAAGCCACACACUCCUCCUUGCUUUCCUGUGAGCCUCUCUUCUUGCUGUCCCCUUUACAACCAACAGUCCCUGCAGGGGGAAGACACUCUGCUUUAGUCAGUUCCACCUCCCUUCCAGAUCUCAUCCUCCUUUCAGCCUAAUUUUCCUCACACUGUCAUGCUCCUUCCCACUGCUCGCCCCCCACCCCCUACUCUCCUCCAGCACAUCACACAUUGCGCCUGGGCACACUGAGCUUGUCUGCCAUCUAUGAAGAGGCCCAUGUCACCCAAGCCCUUCUCUUUCCCUGUCAUGCCAUAGCCUCUUCCAGGAGCGCUCAGCCUGCUGUUUCUGCUCAGACCUCCCCUCCUCUGCAAAGCCUCCUUCUGCGUGCUGCCCGAGAGCCAUCCCCCACUUGGGUUUGUGUUACUGCUGUGUAUGGCAGCAUCUUCACUGUGCCUGAUUUCCCGUCUUGGCCCAUCGUAGGUGCUCAACAAUUGUUUCUCAAAUGACCAGCGCCUGCAGAGGGACCCUGACAUGAACUCCACCCCACCCCGACUCUUGGCAGUUACUCACUGUCCCCUUGAGUCGGGAUCCCAGCCCCUCAGGGGACCUGUCUUGCAGCCAUUCCACGCUCUGUCACCCCACUGCCAGGAGACUAGAGCCACACUGCCUGGAUGACGCUCAUCUUUACCAGCUCGCAGCUCUGCCAGCUGCCUGCUCAGGGGUGGCCGCCAGCUGAGGGAUUGAGCUGAUUAUAGGUGAAUCAGCACCAGGCUGAUUGUGGUGUGAAAAAGGGGAAGGGUGACUGUGUCUUAGCCUCAAUCCUGGCUCCCCUCCUUCCAGCCCUGACCUGCAGUAACAGCACAGGGCCACCAGAGGCUCUAUUGGGCGACUCAUGCCCCGCGGAGAAAGGCCCAGUAGGAGAGCAUCUGACCCAGUUCCCAGCAGAUGAGAAAGGAAGAAGAGUUCAGGAGGCUUCUACUCUCAGAGGUCUCCAGCACUGAAACCCCGCAGCCGCACCUGGCUGCCUUAUCCUUGUGUUUUGCCCCUCAUGGGUCUAGAAGCUGUUGUGUUACACCUUAACAUCUUCCUCCUUGCUUGCCAUGAGCCCCUCUGCUUGCAGCCCCCUUUACAGAACAACAGUCAUGGUAGAGGGAAGAUGUCUCCACUUUUGUCAGUUCUGCCUCCUUUAGGAGAGUGUCAGGCCUAACCCAUGUGUGCUCUGUCUUUCAGGGCAUGGAAAAGACUAUUGUCCUGUUUCGUCUUUUCAACACCUCUUGACUCUCUCCCCCUGGUUUCCUAACAGCCAGCUAGGUUCAGGGCCUCCCAUCUCUGGCCAGGAUUAGUGCAAUGGCUUUCUGAAGGGUCCCAGGCUCCAGGGAGCCCCUUGCCCAUCAAGUCUCUACCCUGGAGCCAGACAGCCCUUACUUCCAUCAGACAUCAGCCUCCAGUGGCUCCGAAAGGCCAGGCAUCCACACAGCACCCCACGGCCCCAAGAACUGGCUGCUUGAUUUUCCUGCCCUGUGUCCCUCCUCUCCUUGGCCCUCUACCCAGCAAUCACCCCAAAACACUGUGAUGUUUCAAGCCUUUGUACUUUGCACACAUUCUUCUCCAUGGCCUAAUUCCCUCUCUCCACCCCUCACUCCACACCUCCUCCACCUUUACCCUUUCUCCCCAUUCUUUCUUCACCGGGCACAGCCCUACUUAUCCUUCAAAACUGCCACUUCCUCUGCGAAGCCUUUCCUGACCCGUGUCCCAGAAUCCCUCCUCUGAACAAAUCCUGUUCCCUAAACAUGCAUCUCUCAUUGUAUCUGUCACUCAAGGGUUGCAAUAAUUACACACACGCCUGUCCUUUGUCCUCCACUGGCUCUGUACCUCCAUGUGGGACCCAUGGCCAGCACACAUUGGUGGUGCCCGAAAGCUGUUGCACUGGAGUUGUUCCUUCUGCCCCAUCACCUCCCACCUUGAACAAGUCCUUUAGAUGACCUGAACUCCAGUUUGUUGAUCUGCAAAAUGGAGAGAUGUGAGAAUCAGAAGAGAACACGUAAUGAAAGGGUGUUAUAAACUGCUAAGGGCUGUACAAAUGUUUGUAUUGCAUUUUUGUCUUCCAGACUAGUGUUUACCUACACUUGCCUGUGUGGAAAUCAGAAGAUUAAAGGAAUGCGAUGUGAUCUUUUUGUAAUUUCCCCACUUGGGUCAAGGGAAAAGCUGGUCAAGAGUAAACCAUUAAUUCAUCCCCCUGCAGGCCCCCCAAUCUUCCCUAGAAUUCUGGGUUAAUGAUUCUGAGGUUGUUUUCCUCACAGAGCCAAUUCAUAUCUAAUCUUUGGCAUGUUCCCCCCUUUAUUAAGAAUAACUUGACUCACCCCAUUAAUUCCUCAUCCUGGGGUCACGAGCCUUGUUUUGCAGAAGGAAAUGGUGGCUGUGUGUAUGUCUUGGGCCUUCUUUCUUUCUCAAACCCCUUUCUUUCAUGGAUUCAUGCCUACAAUUCCCUCUGUGGACAGAAGAGACCUCUCCUUACCUGCAUAAUGAAAUGUGUGACUUUUCUCAAAAGUAGCUUUAGGAAUUAACUGUGGAGGUCCAAGUAGCAAGGAUGCUGUGACCUAACUCGUUACCCCCUCACGUGUGGUUUGGAAUCCCAGCAGAAAAAAUUUCCUGAAGAUCUGGUACGGAGAAACCAUUCUGGGCCUGGCUUUUAAAUGUUUUAUUAGCAGCUGGGCGAGGACUGGGCUGCAAAGAGAUGCAGCCCCCGUCAGAAGCGAUCCCUGUUGGGGAGCAAGGCCUGGAAUUCCAGGAGGGAGGUCUGUUUAUAGCUGAGGCAGAGGCUGGGGAGCGAAGCCUGGGAGCCAGACAUGGCUUAAGGGUGGUCUGGACACUCUUGAGAUAAGGCCAACUAAGGACUAUGAGCUCAUUGAAGUUCCAAAGCCAACUCACAGCAGCUCACCACCAGACAUGUCCCCUGCCCCCACAUUCCCUCCUCUCAAUCCAGGAAUUUUGGUGCUCAUCUCUAUAAAGUUUUAGACCAUGGUGGUAGGAACCUGGUAAGUCUCAGGUUCUUGCAUUGCCCGAUUCUCCUUGGAUUUGCUGGGUUUGCCUCCUUCCCAUGUCUCAGACAGGGCUUUGCAUAAAGAAGUGGGCUGGUAGAUCUGCAAAGGUCCCUCUGUGUGACUGGAGCAAGUUACCCUCUUGAGCCUCAGUGUCCUCUUCUGUAAAAUAGGGAUAUCAUUCUUUCUUUCCCAAGGCUUUUGGUAAUAAUGUCAUUCUCAUGUGAUUCUUAACAAAAUGGGCCUUUCAGACUUAGAUCACUUUUGUGCAUGCAUAAAAAUGAAAGCAUUGAGGAGAAGGAAUUGGUGAAUAUAUGUCUGGAGCAAUAACUUCAUCAGAACUGCCACGGUGGUUGUAGGACCAUUCUGAUUCCAGAGGUAUUAAAAUGCAAAACACAAUGUUGAAAUGCAAAACCCAACAAAAUAAUAAACAGCCUUGUACCUACCGCCUCCCUUAAGAACUAAAACAAUUCCCAACACCACUGAAAGACUGUGUUCACCUCCUUGAUCCAAUCUCUUGCCUUUCCACCCCAGAGAAAACCACUGUCCUGAAUUUUUUCCCACUCCCUUGGUUUUGUUUUACCAAACAUGUAUCCAAUAUGUAACAUAUUAUUUGUAUUUGAUCUUGUUUUUGAAUUGUCCUGUAGGUAGAAUUAUAUCUUAUUCUGCAAUUUGCUUUUUAAAGUUUUUGAAAGAGCAAAACUUAUCUAUGCUAAUACGCUAAUGUGUGUAGCUGCCAUUUAUUUGUCACUGCAUAUACCCCUCUCAAUUCUGUUGAUGGAAAUUUAGGCAGUUUCCAGUAUUAUUUUGCUACAAACAUUCUCAUGGCUGUCUCCUGCAACAUGUGUGUUUCUUGGGAGUAUAC